CAGGACUUCAGUGAACGCAGUGGUAAAUAUGUUCUACAAAUCCUUUCACGCCACCUGCGGAGCGAGUGCAGGGAGAGGCGUCACCUGGCACUCAGGGCUCUUCUUAAGGUCACUGAUGAUCCCUCGAUGGAUGACAGCCAGGUUCAGCAGGUGUCCAUAUUGCUCUACCAAGCAUUGGUGACUCUUCCACUGGAAAAAGAGAAAAAGGCCCUGAAGACACGCACGCGGCAGAGCCUGCUCCCACUCUUCAUCCACUGCCAUGAUGAGAAUGCACGUGUGGCAGAGGCCUCUUGGGAAACGCUGCAUUGUGCAGCCAAAUUCCUAAAGACAAGGGACCUUGAGAAACUGGUGAAGAAAAAGAAUCUGUGGAAGUUCGCCGAGUGCCUGCUGGCCGAGGACAGGAACCAAGUGGCCGAGCACCUGCGCCAGGCCCUGCCGUACCUGGAGAGCCCACAGGAGCCCCUGCGAGAGGCGGCCAUCAGGUUCAUGGGUGAGCCCAGGCUCCCUCCCUGCCCCGCCACAGCUCAGCCCCAGCCCCGCCUGCUGCCCCGGCAGCGCCAUCCGGGCCUGGCACCCUGGAGCCCCGGCUGCCCUCGUGGCUGCUGCCGCCCUCUCGCAGCCAUGCCCUUGGGCGUCAGCAUGUGGCAAGGGCCCGGGCUGAGCCCUGCCGGGCCAGGAGGGCGAGUGGCCACAGGGCUGGCAGUGCCAGCACUGGCAGGGAGCUGUGCCACUGGGGCUACGACAGGCUCUGUGUUUCCAGGGAUGGCCGGGCAGUACCUGAGGGAGCAGAAGGAAGAGUUCCAGGUGCUCUGCAAAGCCCUUGAAGACAUGGCAGAUGACACCAGCCUUGCAGUCAGAAGGCUGGCAAUUGAAACUUGGUACUUUCUCAGGGGAGUAGAGCAGCCUCCGAUCUCCAGGUUGCAGAGGCUGCGAGAUCGGCUCCGCAGGACAUGGAGAACACGGCCUCGCCUGUCGGGCCUCAGCUGGCUGCACUGCUGGAGAUCAGCAGAGAGCUGAUCUGAGAGGCUCUGUCUGCUAGGGGCACCUGAGGCAGUGGG
rnacentral:lncRNA from 1 species